GACGGAGGAUGCAAGUGUUAUCCGGAAUCACUGGGUUUAAAGGGUGCGUAGGCGGGUAAGUAAGUCCGUGGUGAAAUCUCUGAGCUUAACUCAGAAACUGCCGUGGAUACUAUUUGCCUUGAAUAUUGUGGAGGUGAGCGGAAUAUGUCAUGUAGCGGUGAAAUGCUUAGAUAUGACAUAGAACACCACUUGCGAAGGCAGCUCACUACACAAUCAUUGACGCUGAGGCACGAAAGCGUGGGGAUCACGCCGG
rnacentral:rRNA from 1 species